UUGGUGAGGUAAUGGCCCACUAAGACUAUUACAGGUACGGGCUCUGAGAGGAGUAGCCCGGAGAUGGGUACUGAGACACGGACCCAGGCCCUAUGGGGCGCAGCAGGCGAGAAAACUUUGCAAUGUGCGAAAGCACGACAAGGUUAAUCCGAGUGGUUUCUGCUAAAGAAACCUUUUGUUAGUCCUAGAAACACUAUUGAAUAAGGGGUGGGCAAGUUUUGGUGUCAGCCGCCGCGGUAAAACCAGCACCUCAAGUGGUCAGGAUGAUUAUUGGGCCUAAAGCAUCCGUAGCUCGUUUUGUAAGUUUUCGGUUAAAUCCAUGCGCUUAACGUAUGGGCUGCCGGGAAUACUGCAUAACUAGGAAGUGGGAGAGGUAGACGGUACUCGGUAGGAAGGGGUAAAAUCCUUUGAUCUAUUGAUGACCACCUGUGGCGAAGGCGGUCUACCAGAACACGUUCGACGGUGAGGGAUGAAAGCUGGGGGAGCAAACCGGAUUAGAUACCCGGGUAGUCCCAGCUGUAAACUAUGCAAACUCAGUGAUGCAUUGGCUUGUGGCCAAUGCAGUGCUGCAGGGAAGCCGUUAAGUUUGCCGCCUGGGAAGUACGUACGCAAGUAUGAAACUUAAAGGAAUUGGCGGGGGAGCACCACAAGGGGUGAAGCCUGCGGUUC
rnacentral:rRNA from 1 species